UAAGAGAUGCCCUGUUGUUUUACCCGUGUAUAAUCCAUUCUUAUGGAAGUAUCACAAUUGAUAUAGUCCGUCAAGAUUAGACGUUCUAAUGUAAUCAACAGAUUCGAGUAUUCUACAGGCUACAAAAACACCUUCAAUACAAAUUAUUGUGGAGUCUUAAAUUAUGAAACACUAAAUGUUGACAAACUUUAUAUGCAAGGGAUGAGUGAAUGCUGAUCUCCCAAUGGCUUCAGCUUCAGCUAAGGAGUCCGGCAUCUUCAGGCCGCGCGUCUCCGGCUGAGUGAACACCAACAGCGCGGACAGCAUGGCCAUGCUGGCGAACAUGAAGGACGGGAUCCCGUGCCAAUACUCCUUCUGAAACAUUUUAUUCCAUUUUAAUCAGUUUCUCUCUCUUAAUUCACUCUAGUUUGUACGGCACUGUAGUCAUAAUUACUUCGAACCAUCUAAUAAAACGAACGUUUUAAACUAAAA